rnacentral:rRNA from 1 species
AUUGAACGCUGGCGGCAGGCUUAACACAUGCAAGUCGAACGAGAGGCGGACGGGUGAGUAAUGCUUGGGAAUCUAGCUUAUGGAGGGGGAUAACUACGGGAAACUGUAGCUGAUACCGCGUACCUUAGGCUGAGGCCAAGUGGGAUUAGGUAGUUGGUGAGGUAAAGGAUCACCAAGCCGACGAUCUCUAGCUGGUCUGAGAGGAUGACCAGGUAAACUGGGACUGGUACAUGGCUCAGACUCCUACGGGAGGCAGGAGUGGGGAAUAUUGGGCAAUGGGGGCAACCUGACUCAGCCAAGCCGCGGGAAUGAAGAAGGCCUUCGGGUUUUAAAGGUCUGUUAAUCGGGAGACGGUACCGAAAUAGAAAGCCACGGCUAACUACGUGCCAGCAGCCGCGGUAAUUC